rnacentral:rRNA from 1 species
GUAGGUGGCAAGCGUUGUCCGGAAUUAUUGGGCGUAAAGCGCGCGCAGGGCGGUCCUUUAAGUCUGAUGUGAAAGCCCACGGCUCAACCGUGGGGGGUCAUUGGAAACUGGGGGACUUGAGUACAGAAGAGGAAAGCGGAAUUCCAAGUGUAGCGGUGAAAUGCGUAGAGAUUUGGAGGAACACCAGUGGCGAAGGCGGCUUUCUGGUCUGUAACUGACGCUGAGGCGCGAAAGCGUGGGGAGCAAACAGGAUUAGAUACCCUGGUAGUCCACGCCGUAAACGAUGAGUGCUAAGUGUUAGGGGGUUUCCGCCCCUUAGUGCUGCAGCUAACGCAUUAAGCACUCCGCCUGGGGAGUACGGCCGCAAAGGCUG